GAGACGCUAGGCCGGCACUGCCUAGGUGGGCCGGGCGGUGCGAGGGUCGCCUUUCAGCCUUUACCUCUACCCACUGAAAUGGAGUAGGUCGGUGAGCGCCGAUCUGCUGGAGAAUCUCAUUAUCCCAUCGGCGCUCUGCCUGCUCCUGGCCUCCAAGCCUCUGAAGCCCCUCGGGUUUCAGCUGCCGGCUACCCUCGAGCCCGUGGUGCCCACGAGAGAGGCGACUUUACGUCAGCGGCCCUGGGCUGAGAUUUGAGAACGCGACCAAGUGGAGAAUGUUGGAGCCAGAUUUUAAAAUCCUUGUCUUCCUUCUGCGUGCUACUUGAUCUAAAUGAGAUACGGCAAAGUCACAGAACCUGUUUUUAUGUUUUUGCCUGAUUCAUACGGGCUUCUCCGGUGAAGAUGGGCCUGAAGUAACGCUUGGGUUGCUUCUGACGUUAUAACUCAUCCUGUAGCUGCAGCAACCGUGGUCCUUGCAACCUCAUAAAAAUGUUGCCAGCAUUGUUUCGAUAGUGCUGCUUAAUUCUUGGAAGGUUCUUCGGACUUCACACAUUCCAGCAGUAGCUCUCUCAGCUCCUGUCCUGCACAGCUUUGAAGUGCUGAGAUGGGGUCUCCCUAUAUUGCCCAGGCUGGGCUUGAACUCCUGGACUUGAACGAUCCUCCAGCUUUGGCCUCCCAAAAUGCUGAGAUUACAGGCGUGAGCCACCAUGCUUGGCAGCUGAAGACACAGCCCUGGUGAUGGCUUUCUGAGGAUGACACGAUGGAGGCUUCUCCAAUAGCUCUAAAACUGCGGUGUGGAAAACAUUCGGCAGCCUCAAAGAGCGGUCUUGUUGACCCCAACUAUAUCAUUUUUCAUCAAAAUCAUUCUUGUAAAGAAUGACCAGGCAACACUCUUUGAAAAUUGGAGGCCAUUUGCAGCUGCUCUCUGUUGAGGAAAGUGAAUAAUAGGGUGCCCUCAAGGAAUUGCAAAGGUAUCACUCAACAGAAACUUUCGUGUCUGAAGAAAACUAGAUCAUUUUAUCAUGGUAGGCAUGCUGAUAUGUUUGCUUUAAUAAAAUGCCAUAUUUCUGCCUUUAAUCUCUUGUCAACCCGCUAUUAAAAAGCCCCAAAGUGCAUGUGUGCAGCGCAUGUAAACACUUGUGGUUUUGAGGUUACCACAGAACAUACUAAUAAAGCAUGUAAUUUGUGUUUUGUGC
rnacentral:lncRNA from 1 species